rnacentral:rRNA from 1 species
UACGAAGGGGCUAGCGUUGCUCGGAAUUACUGGGCGUAAAGCGCACGUAGGCGGAUUGUUAAGUCGGGGGUGAAAUCCUGGAGCUCAACUCCAGAACUGCCUUCGAUACUGGCGAUCUAGAGUCCGGGAGAGGUGAGUGGAACUGCGAGUGUAGAGGUGAAAUUCGUAGAUAUUCGCAAGAACACCAGUGGCGAAGGCGGCUCACUGGCCGGUACUGACGCUGACGGUGCGAAAGCGUGGGGAGCAA